rnacentral:lncRNA from 1 species
UCCUCUGAACUAAGUCGACAUUCAUCUUGAUGAUCUCCUCAUACUGUGCUUUAGUCGACUUCAGUUCUUCAUUGGAGGUCUUCACGUCUCCCUUGGCUUGGGCCAACUCUUUCUGAAGUCCUUCAUUUGUAUGAAGAAUGCCUUCACGUUGGGUCCUUUCCCGAGCCAAAGCAGACUUCAGGAUGGCGUUCUCCUUCCUCAAGGCUUCUUCUUCAGAUUUAGCCUCGAGAGACCUCGGACGCAGACGCCCGAAUACAGCAUUCGCCUAUGCAUGUUCAGUACUGUUUGAUCAGUUUUAGAUGUAUAAGUAUGAAGAUAAAUACGGAAAUAAAGGAGAGAAUCAUUUACCUUCGCCAAGUAGCUCAUGCCUUCGCUAAGUAAAUCCCCGUUCGAACUGUUCCCGAAUCGAUGGUCAUCGGUCUCACGAACGAAGUCCUCGAAUAGUUGAAAGGGGAAGUUGGCAUUGAAUCGAGGCCACAUGGUUGGAGAGGCCAUAGCGUCAUGCUGAAAUUCGGUGGUCGUUUGUCUUGGAGGAGAGGGCAUAGGUUGGUUGCGAACCGGCGAAGGAUCAGCAUUUACCGUUUCUGGAGAAGGAGACCGGGCAGGAGUAGGUUCGGGUGUCGAGGAAGGAGCAGAGGUCGAACCUGGCUGGCUGUCUGAAGGUUGUUUUCUUUUUCGGGAUAAUAUGG